rnacentral:rRNA from 1 species
AGAGUUUGAUCCUGGCUCAGAACGAACGCUGGCGGCAGGCCUAACACAUGCAAGUCGAGCGCCCCGCAAGGGGAGCGGCGGACGGGUGAGUAACGCGUGGGAAUUUUCCUCAAGGUAGGGAACAACUCAGGGAAACUUGGGCUAAUACCCUAUGAUGCAGAGAUGCCAAAGAUUUAUCGCCUUGGGAUAAGCCCGCGUCAGAUUAGGUAGUUGGUGGGGUAACGGCCUACCAAGCCUGCGAUCUGUAGCUGGUCUGAGAGGACGAUCAGCCACAUUGGGACUGAGACACGGCCCAAACUCCUACGGGAGGCAGCAGUGGGGAAUCUUGCGCAAUGGGCGAAAGCCUGACGCAGCCAUGCCGCGUGAAUGAUGAAGGUCUUAGGAUUGUAAAGUUCUUUCGCCUGUGACGAUGAUGACGGUAACAGGAGAAGAAGCCCCGGCUAACUUCGUGCCAGCAGCCGCGGUAAUACGAAGGGGGCUAGCGUUGUUCGGAAUUACUGGGCGUAAAGCGCGCGUAGGCGGUUUUGCAAGCCAGAGGUGAAAUGCCUGAGCUCAACUUAGGAAUUGCCUUUGGGACUGUGAGGCUUUGAGGACGGAAGAGGUGAGUGGAAUUCCCAGUGUAGAGGUGAAAUUCGUAGAUAUUGGGAAGAACACCGGUGGCGAAGGCGGCUCACUGGUCCGUUUCUGACGCUAAAGCGCGAAAGCGUGGGGAUCAAACAGGAUUAGAUACCCUGGUAGUCCACGCUGUAAACGAUGAGUGCUAGGCGUCGGCAGGCUUGCCUGUCGGUGCCGCAGCUAAC